rnacentral:rRNA from 1 species
GACGAACGCUGGCGGCGUGCUUAACACAUGCAAGUCGAACGGAAAGGCCCUGCUUUUGUGGGGUGCUCGAGUGGCGAACGGGUGAGUAACACGUGAGUAACCUGCCCUUGACUUUGGGAUAACUUCAGGAAACUGGGGCUAAUACCGGAUAGGAGCUCCUGCUGCAUGGUGGGGGUUGGAAAGUUUCGGCGGUUGGGGAUGGACUCGCGGCUUAUCAGCUUGUUGGUGGGGUAGUGGCUUACCAAGGCUGUGACGGGUAGCCGGCCUGAGAGGGUGACCGGCCACAUGGGGACUGAGGGACGGCCCAGACUCGUACGGGAGGCAGCAGUGGGGAAUAUGGCACAAUGGGCGGAAGCCUGAUGCAGCAACGCCGCGGGCGGGAUGACGGCCUUCGGGUUGUAAACCGCUUUCGCCUGUGACGAAGCGUGAGUGACGGUAAUGGGUAAAGAAGCACCGGCUAACUACGUG